rnacentral:rRNA from 1 species
AGGACUAACGCUGGCGGCGUGCCUAAUGCAUGCAAGUCGAGCGCACGCCCCUUCGGGGGCGUGAGCGGCGAACGGGUGAGGAACACGUGGGCAACCUGCCCCUGGCUGGGGGAUACCCGGCGGAAACGUCGGCCAAUCCCGCGUACGCUCCCCGCCGUAACGGGCGGGGAGGAGAGCCCUUCGGGGCGGCCUGGGAGGGGCCCGCGCCCCAUCAGCUAGUCGGCGGGGUAACGGCCCACCGAGGCGAUGACGGGUCGCUGGUCUGAGAGGAUGGCCAGCCACACGGGGACUGGGAUACGGCCCCGACUCCUACGGGAGGCAGCAGCAAGGGAUUUCCGCAAUGGGCGCAAGCCUGGCGGAGCGACGCCGCGUGGGGGAUGGACGCCGUUUCGGGGGU